AGUCACAAUUAUUGUUUAUAAGCAUUUAAAGUUCAUAUGUUUAGAAAAUAUAUCAAAAUCACGAAAAUUUGCAAAGAAUUUUGAAGUUGAAAAUUCAUAAAAUCUUUGUGAUUUAUACUUAAGGUUGGAUAUACUAGGUUAUCCAUAAGUUUUCCUUCAAGUAACAGUAAAAAAAUAAAUCCAUUGUCAAUAUAGAAAACAUUUUAUGUGCGUAUGAAAUAUAAUUUUUUACGAAAUCGCGUAAAAUAACGAUAUAUUACAAUUUAAAUAUAGGUAAUAAUAUAAUAUAUCCAACUAAUUAUCAUUGACUGACAAAUCAUCUCCGUUCAGAAUCGUUUUUCGUAUACAAUCCUACCCGUCGUUGCAUUCAAAUUUAACACAUCCACUAUAGUGACCAGUGACCUACUCACCAUCUCUACUAUACACCGGAGCGAUACCCACUUUUUUCGUAUUGAAAAGGAGCAAAUUUUCGGUUGUACAAAUAGUCACACUUAUAAUAGGUACAUUUUAUAUUCUACAAAACAUUCUGGUAUAUUUGUAGGUACUAUCUUUUAUGGCUUAUCAUAAUUAUUAUUUCUUAUCGUCUGUUAUAUAAUAUUAUGUCUAUAUUUCCUAUCAUUUUGCAGUUUUACAUUCGUAUUUGUAUUUGAGUUUCAACUGUAAAUUGUUUUCAAGAAUUUUGUAAUAAAAAUGAAGUUUGUCUGUUAGUUUAUGUUUUGAUUGUUUCCAUUUAAAAAAUUUUUCAGUGUUGUCCACGUACUAGUUGUUAUAUAAAAAUUGUUGUCCUCCUUACGGUGUCUAGUAGCGACAUUUUAUCCUCCAACCAUUAUACAUAUUUAACUUACUAUUUUUUUUUUAGAUGGCAGUACAGCAGAUCAUUCAAUACAUGCCGAGACAUGAAUUCACAUUUCUACCACUAUGCUAAAUAUCAAUAUCCUACGUUGAAAAUGUACUAGACGAUACUGCUAAUAACAAGGGUUUUGUGCAACGUGCGUGUAAUGGAUGGCAGUACAGCAGAUCACUCAAUACAUGCUGAGACAUGAAUUCACAUUUCUACCACUAUGCAAAACAUCAACAUCCUACGUUGAAAAUGGACUAGACAGUACUGCUAAUAAUAAUGGUUUUGUGCAACGUGCGCGUAAUGGAUGGCAGUACUGCAGAUCACUGGAGGCAUGCUGAGACAUGAAUUAACAUUUCUAUCACUUGGGAAAGUUACAACAUUUUCCGUUGAAAAUGGAAUAGAAGAUGGCAGUAUAUCAGAUCAAUCAAGGCAUGCUGAGACACGAAUUCACAUUUCUACCACUAAGGAGAGUAUCAACAUCCUAGGUUGAAAAUGGACUAGAAGAUACUGAUAAUAAUAUUGGAUUUAUGCAAUGGUUAUUGAAUAUAAUUGACACUAAAUUAAUAGCUGUGAAACAAUUGAGAUUUGUUAAAUAUCUGAAUAAAAUAAUAGUAAACAACUUUAGCUUGUAUUGUUUAUUCUUAAAUUUUACCUAUGCUAUAAAUAUAUUUUGUUUUUACUAUAAUAUUUAAAUGAUCAUUAUAAAACAUUUAUAAAACACUCAAAUAUUAAGUUCAUGUUUAGAAGGUUGAACAAUAGUUUAAGAAAUUUACCAUUAUUGUCUUUCACGUGUUUCAUUUAACCUGGUAUUUUGAAUACACUAUAAUACAUGUUUUUAUAUGAUAAUUUUGACAAAUUCCAAUUUUAAACUGCUUAUAAAACACUCAAAAUUAUUAAAUGUAUGCACCGACAGAGGGCGGUAGUGGGGACGACAUCCGUCGGCCGAUGCCCGAUCGCCUCAGAGUAAAACUAGUUGGUUGUGUGCCGUUCGCCGGACGGCCUUUUGACAUAAUUGACGGUUGUUUUUACUUAGCUAUUGGGUGUAGUUGUUGUUCAUUUAAUAAAGAUUUUUGAUAUUAUAAACGAAUUGUUCAUAUUUUAUGCCCGAAGUUAACACAAAUGGCAGUACAGCAGAUCAUUCAAUACAUGCCGAGACAUGAAUUCACAUUUCUACCACUAUGCUAAAUAUCAAUAUCCUACGUUGAAAAUGUACUAGACGAUACUGCUAAUAACAAGGGUUUUGUGCAACGUGCGUGUAAUGGAUGGCAGUACAGCAGAUCACUCAAUACAUGCUGAGACAUGAAUUCACAUUUCUACCACUAUGCAAAACAUCAACAUCCUACGUUGAAAAUGGACUAGACAGUACUGCUAAUAAUAAUGGUUUUGUGCAACGUGCGCGUAAUGGAUGGCAGUACUGCAGAUCACUGGAGGCAUGCUGAGACAUGAAUUAACAUUUCUAUCACUUGGGAAAGUUACAACAUUUUCCGUUGAAAAUGGAAUAGAAGAUGGCAGUAUAUCAGAUCAAUCAAGGCAUGCUGAGACACGAAUUCACAUUUCUACCACUAAGGAGAGUAUCAACAUCCUAGGUUGAAAAUGGACUAGAAGAUACUGAUAAUAAUAUUGGAUUUAUGCAAUGGUUAUUGAAUAUAAUUGACACUAAAUUAAUAGCUGUGAAACAAUUGAGAUUUGUUAAAUAUCUGAAUAAAAUAAUAGUAAACAACUUUAGCUUGUAUUGUUUAUUCUUAAAUUUUACCUAUGCUAUAAAUAUAUUUUGUUUUUACUAUAAUAUUUAAAUGAUCAUUAUAAAACAUUUAUAAAACACUCAAAUAUUAAGUUCAUGUUUAGAAGGUUGAACAAUAGUUUAAGAAAUUUACCAUUAUUGUCUUUCACGUGUUUCAUUUAACCUGGUAUUUUGAAUACACUAUAAUACAUGUUUUUAUAUGAUAAUUUUGACAAAUUCCAAUUUUAAACUGCUUAUAAAACACUCAAAAUUAUUAAAUGUAUGCACCGACAGAGGGCGGUAGUGGGGACGACAUCCGUCGGCCGAUGCCCGAUCGCCUCAGAGUAAAACUAGUUGGUUGUGUGCCGUUCGCCGGACGGCCUUUUGACAUAAUUGACGGUUGUUUUUACUUAGCUAUUGGGUGUAGUUGUUGUUCAUUUAAUAAAGAUUUUUGAUAUUAUAAACGAAUUGUUCAUAUUUUAUGCCCGAAGUUAACACAAAUGGCAGUACAGCAGAUCAUUCAAUACAUGCCGAGACAUGAAUUCACAUUUCUACCACUAUGCUAAAUAUCAAUAUCCUACGUUGAAAAUGUACUAGACGAUACUGCUAAUAACAAGGGUUUUGUGCAACGUGCGUGUAAUGGAUGGCAGUACAGCAGAUCACUCAAUACAUGCUGAGACAUGAAUUCACAUUUCUACCACUAUGCAAAACAUCAACAUCCUACGUUGAAAAUGGACUAGACAGUACUGCUAAUAAUAAUGGUUUUGUGCAACGUGCGCGUAAUGGAUGGCAGUACUGCAGAUCACUGGAGGCAUGCUGAGACAUGAAUUAACAUUUCUAUCACUUGGGAAAGUUACAACAUUUUCCGUUGAAAAUGGAAUAGAAGAUGGCAGUAUAUCAGAUCAAUCAAGGCAUGCUGAGACACGAAUUCACAUUUCUACCACUAAGGAGAGUAUCAACAUCCUAGGUUGAAAAUGGACUAGAAGAUACUGAUAAUAAUAUUGGAUUUAUGCAAUGGUUAUUGAAUAUAAUUGACACUAAAUUAAUAGCUGUGAAACAAUUGAGAUUUGUUAAAUAUCUGAAUAAAAUAAUAGUAAACAACUUUAGCUUGUAUUGUUUAUUCUUAAAUUUUACCUAUGCUAUAAAUAUAUUUUGUUUUUACUAUAAUAUUUAAAUGAUCAUUAUAAAACAUUUAUAAAACACUCAAAUAUUAAGUUCAUGUUUAGAAGGUUGAACAAUAGUUUAAGAAAUUUACCAUUAUUGUCUUUCACGUGUUUCAUUUAACCUGGUAUUUUGAAUACACUAUAAUACAUGUUUUUAUAUGAUAAUUUUGACAAAUUCCAAUUUUAAACUGCUUAUAAAACACUCAAAAUUAUUAAAUGUAUGCACCGACAGAGGGCGGUAGUGGGGACGACAUCCGUCGGCCGAUGCCCGAUCGCCUCAGAGUAAAACUAGUUGGUUGUGUGCCGUUCGCCGGACGGCCUUUUGACAUAAUUGACGGUUGUUUUUACUUAGCUAUUGGGUGUAGUUGUUGUUCAUUUAAUAAAGAUUUUUGAUAUUAUAAACGAAUUGUUCAUAUUUUAUGCCCGAAGUUAACACAAAUGGCAGUACAGCAGAUCAUUCAAUACAUGCCGAGACAUGAAUUCACAUUUCUACCACUAUGCUAAAUAUCAAUAUCCUACGUUGAAAAUGUACUAGACGAUACUGCUAAUAACAAGGGUUUUGUGCAACGUGCGUGUAAUGGAUGGCAGUACAGCAGAUCACUCAAUACAUGCUGAGACAUGAAUUCACAUUUCUACCACUAUGCAAAACAUCAACAUCCUACGUUGAAAAUGGACUAGACAGUACUGCUAAUAAUAAUGGUUUUGUGCAACGUGCGCGUAAUGGAUGGCAGUACAGCAGAUCACUCAAUACAUGCUGAGACAUGAAUUCACAUUUCUACCACUAUGCAAAACAUCAACAUCCUACGUUGAAAAUGGACUAGACAGUACUGCUAAUAAUAAUGGUUUUGUGCAACGUGCGCGUAAUGGAUGGCAGUACUGCAGAUCACUGGAGGCAUGCUGAGACAUGAAUUAACAUUUCUAUCACUUGGGAAAGUUACAACAUUUUCCGUUGAAAAUGGAAUAGAAGAUGGCAGUAUAUCAGAUCAAUCAAGGCAUGCUGAGACACGAAUUCACAUUUCUACCACUAAGGAGAGUAUCAACAUCCUAGGUUGAAAAUGGACUAGAAGAUACUGAUAAUAAUAUUGGAUUUAUGCAAUGGUUAUUGAAUAUAAUUGACACUAAAUUAAUAGCUGUGAAACAAUUGAGAUUUGUUAAAUAUCUGAAUAAAAUAAUAGUAAACAACUUUAGCUUGUAUUGUUUAUUCUUAAAUUUUACCUAUGCUAUAAAUAUAUUUUGUUUUUACUAUAAUAUUUAAAUGAUCAUUAUAAAACAUUUAUAAAACACUCAAAUAUUAAGUUCAUGUUUAGAAGGUUGAACAAUAGUUUAAGAAAUUUACCAUUAUUGUCUUUCACGUGUUUCAUUUAACCUGGUAUUUUGAAUACACUAUAAUACAUGUUUUUAUAUGAUAAUUUUGACAAAUUCCAAUUUUAAACUGCUUAUAAAACACUCAAAAUUAUUAAAUGUAUGCACCGACAGAGGGCGGUAGUGGGGACGACAUCCGUCGGCCGAUGCCCGAUCGCCUCAGAGUAAAACUAGUUGGUUGUGUGCCGUUCGCCGGACGGCCUUUUGACAUAAUUGACGGUUGUUUUUACUUAGCUAUUGGGUGUAGUUGUUGUUCAUUUAAUAAAGAUUUUUGAUAUUAUAAACGAAUUGUUCAUAUUUUAUGCCCGAAGUUAACACAAAUGGCAGUACAGCAGAUCAUUCAAUACAUGCCGAGACAUGAAUUCACAUUUCUACCACUAUGCUAAAUAUCAAUAUCCUACGUUGAAAAUGUACUAGACGAUACUGCUAAUAACAAGGGUUUUGUGCAACGUGCGUGUAAUGGAUGGCAGUACAGCAGAUCACUCAAUACAUGCUGAGACAUGAAUUCACAUUUCUACCACUAUGCAAAACAUCAACAUCCUACGUUGAAAAUGGACUAGACAGUACUGCUAAUAAUAAUGGUUUUGUGCAACGUGCGCGUAAUGGAUGGCAGUACUGCAGAUCACUGGAGGCAUGCUGAGACAUGAAUUAACAUUUCUAUCACUUGGGAAAGUUACAACAUUUUCCGUUGAAAAUGGAAUAGAAGAUGGCAGUAUAUCAGAUCAAUCAAGGCAUGCUGAGACACGAAUUCACAUUUCUACCACUAAGGAGAGUAUCAACAUCCUAGGUUGAAAAUGGACUAGAAGAUACUGAUAAUAAUAUUGGAUUUAUGCAAUGGUUAUUGAAUAUAAUUGACACUAAAUUAAUAGCUGUGAAACAAUUGAGAUUUGUUAAAUAUCUGAAUAAAAUAAUAGUAAACAACUUUAGCUUGUAUUGUUUAUUCUUAAAUUUUACCUAUGCUAUAAAUAUAUUUUGUUUUUACUAUAAUAUUUAAAUGAUCAUUAUAAAACAUUUAUAAAACACUCAAAUAUUAAGUUCAUGUUUAGAAGGUUGAACAAUAGUUUAAGAAAUUUACCAUUAUUGUCUUUCACGUGUUUCAUUUAACCUGGUAUUUUGAAUACACUAUAAUACAUGUUUUUAUAUGAUAAUUUUGACAAAUUCCAAUUUUAAACUGCUUAUAAAACACUCAAAAUUAUUAAAUGUAUGCACCGACAGAGGGCGGUAGUGGGGACGACAUCCGUCGGCCGAUGCCCGAUCGCCUCAGAGUAAAACUAGUUGGUUGUGUGCCGUUCGCCGGACGGCCUUUUGACAUAAUUGACGGUUGUUUUUACUUAGCUAUUGGGUGUAGUUGUUGUUCAUUUAAUAAAGAUUUUUGAUAUUAUAAACGAAUUGUUCAUAUUUUAUGCCCGAAGUUAACACAAAUGGCAGUACAGCAGAUCAUUCAAUACAUGCCGAGACAUGAAUUCACAUUUCUACCACUAUGCUAAAUAUCAAUAUCCUACGUUGAAAAUGUACUAGACGAUACUGCUAAUAACAAGGGUUUUGUGCAACGUGCGUGUAAUGGAUGGCAGUACAGCAGAUCACUCAAUACAUGCUGAGACAUGAAUUCACAUUUCUACCACUAUGCAAAACAUCAACAUCCUACGUUGAAAAUGGACUAGACAGUACUGCUAAUAAUAAUGGUUUUGUGCAACGUGCGCGUAAUGGAUGGCAGUACUGCAGAUCACUGGAGGCAUGCUGAGACAUGAAUUAACAUUUCUAUCACUUGGGAAAGUUACAACAUUUUCCGUUGAAAAUGGAAUAGAAGAUGGCAGUAUAUCAGAUCAAUCAAGGCAUGCUGAGACACGAAUUCACAUUUCUACCACUAAGGAGAGUAUCAACAUCCUAGGUUGAAAAUGGACUAGAAGAUACUGAUAAUAAUAUUGGAUUUAUGCAAUGGUUAUUGAAUAUAAUUGACACUAAAUUAAUAGCUGUGAAACAAUUGAGAUUUGUUAAAUAUCUGAAUAAAAUAAUAGUAAACAAC